AUAACGACUCUAGGAAACAGAUAUCUUGGCUCUCGCAUCGAUGAAGAAUGUAGCGAAAUGCGAUACUUGGUGUGAAUUGCAGAAUCUUGUGAACCAUCGAGUCUGUGAACGCAAGUUGCCCCUGAAAACUUCUGGCCGAGGGCACGUCUGUCUGGGCAUCA
rnacentral:rRNA from 1 species